rnacentral:lncRNA from 1 species
UCCUAACUAAAUUUUCCAAAAAAAAAAAUUGAAAAAUUUGAGUAACAAAAUUUCACGUGCAGCAAGUUCCCGAUCGCUCAUUGCACAUCAUAACACAAAGUAAGCAAGUAAGCAUCUGCGGUUAUUGUCAUUGAUAUCGAUGAACCAGAGGUAGCCUAAAAGAAUCCGAUUCGGAUAUCCUCCCCCAAUUAGAGAAGUACACUUGAAGAGCUGGCUCACCCUCAACUUUUCACUGGAUUCCCCACCAACUUAAACACGAACUCCAGAAGAGACCUCAAGGAUAAAAUUAUGCGAAAUAUUUGAUGCGUCCCUCUUGGUUUCCUCUGCCAUAAAUAAACCGUUGCGAAGAUAUAUUCCUUGCAAUAUUAUUAACUCCGCAGGUCUUAUGAAAGAUCAAAAUAUGCCUCGGAUAGUAGACGACAUUUUUGAUGAUGACCCUUUGCAGCGUUUGAAGGUUCAUUAUUUGAGGGCAUGCACCUUGAAUUUGCGGUUUCCGCCAAGAAGAAUGAUGGGUUUUACAAGGUCGGAAAAGAAUAAGCACUUUUUAGAGAGACACUAUAGCUCCUUCAGAUGGACGUCGGAUCAUAAUCUGCAUCAGAGCAAAAUUUUUUAACAUAUCGCUGAUUUUGCCGCACACUCCGACGGAAGUAAAAGACGUUGCGACCAGAGAUGCAUGCUAUGAUCAACUAGUAAGAAACUCUGCUCGAUGCACACGCCGUGGGCAAUGAAGGUAUUUUUGCAUAACACUCCGGGAAAUUCACCCUCCAUGACGAAACAUUCACCAACUGUUUCGGUCAGGUCCAGAUUUCGACAGAAGAAAAUUCAUUAAGCUACUUGGCUGUACCCUGAUCGAAACGAACCAAGCCAAAUCGAUCAUAGUAUGAUAAGAUAGAUGGUAGAUAUGUCUCCAGUAUUCUUGAGGUGCGUACACUCCGAUGGCCCUUUGUGUAUCAAAAAACGCCCGCCAACAAACACAAGGAAAGCUCGGCGUCGAGCGUACUUAUCAGUAUAUGGAACUUUGGGACGACAUUACAAACUCCAUACGUAUAGCAGCAAACGAACCUAUGGGAUUUCGGAGAGAUCGCAAAAACAGCUGGUACAAUGGAGACUGACCGUUUCGCAGUGGAGAGAAAGCAGACUGCCUAUCCAUAACUUUGAGAUCAAACAACACACGUGCGACGAGAGGUAGAUACCGAGAGUUUAAGUGAGAUGCAUGAGUAUAAAGAAAUAGAGAAAAUCGCCGACAUGAUAGGCCAUCCAAAAUUCUAUGAGGGAGUAUUCUAAAAUAUUUUAAGACAUGAAUUGUUUGCUGUAAGAAACAAGUAAGUGGAUGAAUAUUCGAGAAAAUUGAGGUCUUACCAAAACAUCCGGGAAUGGCGAACCAGAAGCUUUAAUCGAUAAGACGGUAUAGAGGUAUCAUCACUCGACUAUAAAGAAGAAUAACAAAGUGGCCGGACGCAAUGCCCUUACAGCCUGAGAUAUGAAACUAAAGAGGUGAGGAAACCUAAGUAUUCCCUGCCCAAGUUGCCAAACUGAUAAGACUCCGCAAUAUAUUAUAUAAAGUCAUUCUUAACGUAAUGUAUUUUGUGAAAGAUUAACAUACGUUGUCAACGAACGAGUUAGGCCUUAGCAGCAGUGUGAUCUUUGCACUGAUCCAACAUUGAUCUGAUAUUCA